rnacentral:sRNA from 2 species
GAGGAUGAGCACCUCCGCAGGAGGUUCGAGCCUCGCGAAGCGAGACAACGUUGCUUCAGCAACGGCCCGCAGGGCGCGCAUCCAAGAUGCGCGUAAUCCUC